ACGCGUGGAUAACCUGCCCCAUACCGGGGGAUAACAGCCGGAAACGGCUGCUAAUACCGCAUAAGCGCACGAGGCUGCAUGGCCUUGUGUGAAAAACUCCGGUGGUAUGGGAUGGAUCCGCGUCUGAUUAGCUAGUUGGUGAGGUAACGGCCCACCAAGGCGACGAUCAGUAGCCGGCCUGAGAGGGCGACCGGCCACAUUGGGACUGAGACACGGCCCAAACUCCUACGGGAGGCAGCAGUGGGGAAUAUUGCACAAUGGGGGAAACCCUGAUGCAGCGACGCCGCGUGAGUGAAGAAGUAUUUCGGUAUGUAAAGCUCUAUCAGCAGGGAAGAAAAUGACGGUACCUGAGUAAGAAGCCCCGGCUAACUACGUGCCAGCAGCCGCGGUAAUACGUAGGGGGCAAGCGUUAUCCGGAUUUACUGGGUGUAAAGGGAGCGUAGACGGCAGUGCAAGUCUGGAGUGAAAGGCGGGGGCUCAACCCCCGGACUGCUCUGGAAACUGUACGGCUGGAGUGCAGGAGAGGUAAGUGGAAUUCCUAGUGUAGCGGUGAAAUGCGUAGAUAUUAGGAGGAACACCAGUGGCGAAGGCGGCUUACUGGACUGUAACUGACGUUGAGGCUCGAAAGCGUGGGGAGCAAACAGGAUUAGAUACCCUGGUAGUCCACGCCGUAAACGAUGAUCACUAGGUGU
rnacentral:rRNA from 1 species